rnacentral:rRNA from 1 species
GGGGAAUCUUCCGCAAUGGACGAAAGUCUGACGGAGCAACGCCGCGUGAGUGAAGAAGGUCUUCGGAUUGUAAAGCUCUGUCGUUUGGGACGAACGUGGAUUGUGUAAAUAAUGCAAUCUAAUGACGGUACCAAAGGAGGAAGCCACGGCUAACUACGUGCCAGCAGCCGCGGUAAUACGUAGGGGGCAAGCGUUGUCCGGAAUGAUUGGGCGUAAAGGGCGCGUAGGCGGCCCGGUAAGUCUGGAGUGAAAGUCCUGCUUUUAAGGUGGGAAUUGCUUUGGAUACUGUCGGGCUUGAGUGCAGGAGAGGUAAGCGGAAUUCCCGGUGUAGCGGUGAAAUGCGUAGAGAUCGGGAGGAACACCAGUGGCGAAGGCGGCUUACUGGACUGUAACUGACGCUGAGGCGCGAAAGUGUGGGGAGCAAACA